AAAAGCCGUGUUUGUGGUUGAAAGUCGAUGCCAGUCGCAGGCAAAACGAUCCACGUAAGCGGGGCAAAGCCCCCGUGAGCAUGGUGCGGCUUAGAAGUAAGUCCGGCCGGGAAACCGAGAGAGGCAGUAGUGGGGAGCAUUUCGCUUAGGAGCGAACCCUCCAGCCGGCGAGUGUGGGGUCAAAGACCAGGUCAGGCGGCUAUG
rnacentral:ncRNA from 12 species